rnacentral:rRNA from 1 species
AUUGAACGCUGGCGGCAGGCCUAACACAUGCAAGUCGGACGGUAGCACAGAGGAGCUUGCUCCUCGGGUGACGAGUGGCGGACGGGUGAGUAAUGUCUGGGGAUCUGCCCGAUAGAGGGGGAUAACCACUGGAAACGGUGGCUAAUACCGCAUAACGGCGCAAGACCAAAGAGGGGGACCCUCGGGCCUCUCACUAUCGCACGAACCCAGAUGGGAUUAGCUAGUAGGCGGGGUAACGGCCCACCUAGGCGACGAUCCCUAGCUGGUCUGAGGGGAUGACCAGCCACACUGGAACUGAGACACGGUCCAGACUCCUACGGGAGGCAGCAGUGGGGAAUAUUGCACAAUGGGCGCAAGCCUGAUGCAGCCAUGCCGCGUGUAUGAAGAAGGCCUUCGGGUUGUAAAGUACUUUCAGCGGGGAGGAAGGCGAUGUGGUUAAUAACCGCAUUGAUUGACGUUACCCGCAGAAGAAGCACCGGCUAACUCCGUGCCAGCAGCCGCCGUAA